rnacentral:lncRNA from 1 species
ACACACUGAGGCACUUUUUUGUUGUUUAACCUUGAGCCUUUCCAGCCACCCUUGUACGUUUUAUCCGUUGCGAACCCCUUUGAGCCUUUAACCAUUUUGUUUGUUUGUAAACCGCUUAUGUUACCCUAUGGCCAGAAAAAGAAAAAAAAAUAGAUAAUAAUCUCUUCUACCCUUGCUCGGCAUAAAUGUUGUGGAUUUUGGAAACUGUGUGAAUUCUAAGUUUGGGGUGGUAAAUCUAAUACAAAAGGGACAAGUGUGCGAAAAAUUGUUACAAGAAAAGAGAAAAGAAAAAUUGGAGGCUCUUUGAAUGCUCCGGAAAAAGAAAUAAAAAGAGAAAAGAAAAAUAGAACUCAUCAAAACGCACUUGUCCCAAUUAAACGACUUGAUUACAUUUGAAAUACUCAAUCAGUUGAGUAAAGUUAAAGAGUCGAUGUCGAACCCCUGUAUAUCAAAAUAAGCACAGGUACAAGAAACAUAACAGGAGUGCCGAGCCCAAACCCCUUGUGUAUCCGUUUGUUGUUUAUCCUACCUGUCCUAAGCCCCGUUACAACCCUAAGUCCUCCAAAAGUGUGU